rnacentral:rRNA from 1 species
AAAGAAGAAUUUGUUUUUAAAUGUAGAUAAAAUUAUAUUAAUAGUUUAGUUAAAUAAUUUGAAGUAAAUUUAUUUAAAUAAUUAAUUGAAUUAUUUAUAAAGUAAUGUAAAUGAAUAAUAAAAAAUUUUAGUAAAGUAGAUUUAAUUAAUUGUACCUUUUGUAUCAGGGUUUAUUAAAAAUAUAAUUUAAUUAAAGUAAAAUUUUUCGAAUAAAAAAGAGUUAGAUUAAUAUGAAAUUUAUUGUUGAAAAAUUAUUUUAAAUAUUAAUUUAGUGGAGAUAUUUUAUUCAAUUUUUUAGAUAUUUAAUUUUUUUUGUUAUAAAUUUAAUUUAAUGUAAAUAAUAUUUAUUUUUUAGUAUAUGUAUAAGUAAGUGAUUGAUUUAUAAAAAGAAUAUAUGGGAUAAACUAAAUAUUUUUUUAAAAAUAUGUAAAUAAAUUAAUAAGUAGGAUAAAUAUUUUUAAAAUUAAAUUUUUUUUUAUAAAAUGUAAUAAUUAAUUUAAUGUUUAAUUUAAAAAUUUAUUAAAUUUUUAAUUAAUUAAAAAAAUAUAUUAAUUAAUUAUAAAAUUAAUAAAAAUAAUGAAAAAAUUAGUAUUUUAUUUAAAUUUAUAUUUAAAAUUUUAAUUUAAAUAUUUAUUUUAAUAAUUAGGCAAAUUGAAUUAUUUUUAUAAAUAAAAAUUAAAUUAAAUUCACCUGUUUAAUAAAAACAUCGUUUUAAGAUAUUAAUUUAAAAUUUGUUCUGCUCAAUGAUUAUGUAAAUUAAAUAGCUGCAGUAAUUUGACUGUACAAAGGUAGCAUAAUCAAUUGUUUUUUAAUUAAGGACUGGAAUGAAGGAAUUAAUGAGAUUUAAACUAUUUAAAGUAUUUUUUAAAAAUUUAUAUUUUAAGUUAAAAUUCUUAAAUAAUUUUAUGGGACGAAAAGACCCUAAGAAUUUAAUAUAAAUUUUUAAAUUAUUUUUUAAAAAUUUAUAUUUAAUUGGGGAGAUUAUAAAAUUUAAUAAACUUUUAGAGAUAGUGUGAUUUAUUAAUAAAUUAUAUUAACAUUAAUUAAUGAAUUUAAGAAUAAAUAAAAUUUUAUUAUUUAUUAUUAAAAUUAAUUACCUUAGGGAUAACAGAGUAAUAAUUUUUGAGAGAUCUAAUUGAAAAAAGUGAUUGCUACCUCGAUGUUGAAUUAAAAUGAAAAUUAAAUGGAGAAAUUUAAUUAUUUAGUCUGUUCGACUAUUAAAAUUUUACAUGAUUUGAGUUUAGAUCGGCGUAAGCCAGAUUGGUUUUUAUCUAUAAUUAAUUUAAAAUAAUUUUGUACGAAAGGACUUUUUAUUUGAGAUAGUUUUUUUUGAAAGAAUUAUAGUAAGGGUAAUAAGU